UACAGAGGUCUCAAGCGUUUGUUCGGAUUCAUUGGGCGUAAAGGGUGCGUAGGCGGCGCGGUAAGUCGGGUGUGAAAUUUCGGAGCUUAACUCCGAAACUGCAUUCGAUACUGCCGUGCGUUGAGGACUGGAGAGAGAUGGAAUUUACGGUGUAGCAGUGAAAUGCGUAGAGAUCGUAAGGAAGACCAGUGGCGAAGGCGGGUCUCUGG
rnacentral:rRNA from 1 species